rnacentral:rRNA from 1 species
AUGGCCGCCACCUCCUCCGCCGCCGCCCCCGCUGACGCAUACGACAUCCCGUGGGUGGAGAAGUACCGCCCCAGCCGCGUCGCCGAUGUCGUCGGCAACGCCGACGCCGUCAGCCGCCUCGAGGUCAUCGCCCGCGACGGCAACAUGCCCAACCUCAUCCUCUCCGUAAGCGCCAUUUCCCCGAACACCUUCCGCGCGCACCCUCGCAACACGGAAAACUCACCCCGCCUCCUCUACUCCCAUGCCUUUCUUCGCCAGGGGCCUCCGGGGACCGGGAAGACGACGAGCAUCCUGGCGCUCGCCCACGAGAUGCUGGGGCCCAGCUACCGCGAGGGCGUGCUCGAGCUCAACGCCUCGGACGACAGGGGGCUUGAUGUGGUGCGGAACAAGAUCAAGAUGUUCGCGCAGAAGAAGGUCACACUGCCACCUGGACGGCACAAGAUCGUCAUACUGGACGAGGCUGACAGCAUGACAACAGGGGCACAACAAGCACUGAGAAGAACCAUGGAGAUUUAUUCCAACACCACAAGAUUUGCUCUUGCCUGCAAUACUUCAUCUAAAAUCAUUGAACCCAUCCAAAGUCGCUGCGCUAUUGUCCGGUUCUCGAGGCUUUCAGAUCAGGAGAUCCUUGGCCGCCUUAUGGUCGUGGUGGCAGCUGAGAAGGUCCCUUAUGUGCCGGAAGGUCUUGAAGCCAUAAUUUUUACUGCUGAUGGUGACAUGAGACAAGCUUUGAACAAUUUGCAAGCUACAGUCAGUGGGUUUCGUUUUGUUAAUCAAGAAAAUGUGUUCAAGGUAUGUGAUCAACCACAUCCCUUGCAUGUCAAGAGUAUGGUGAAAAAUGUACUCGAUGGGAAGUUUGACGAGGCCUGCUCUGGCCUAAAGCAACUCUAUGAUUUGGGCUACUCUCCUACCGACAUAAUCACCACUCUCUUCCGUGUCAUCAAGAACUAUGACAUGGCUGAAUUUCUGAAGCUGGAAUUGCUGAAGGAGACAGGAUUUGCGCACAUGAGGAUCUGUGAUGGCGUUGGGUCAUUCCUUCAGCUUUCCGGCCUUCUGGCCAAGUUUGCUCUGGUGAGGGAAACAGCCAAAGCGUAA